GUCUACGGCCAUACCACCCUGAACACGCCAGAUCUCGUCUGAUCUCAGAAGCUAAGCAGGGUCGGGCAUGGCUAGUACUUGGAUGGGAGAAUGUGGGCUGCCUUCC
rnacentral:rRNA from 1 species